AUGAAGAAUCGUGGCUUACUAACCAGUAUACCAUCAGCAAUUCUUGAAACCGAGAGAAACAUUGAGACCACCGAGAAUAUUCAGAUCUGCACCACAGUCUUUAACCUGACAAACAGCUCGAUUCGAAGCACCUCCAGCUACUUUGCUUUUCAUUCACACCAUCCCAGCUUGCAAUCUCCAUUUCCACCACCAGUGAAUCAUGUCAUGCAAGCUGUAUGCCUACAACAACUUGUGUACCGCAGAUGCCAAUGGGCUGCACAUAUUGGUUUGAUGGCUCAGCAUAGUAGCAACAAAUUUAUAGCCUUAUACAUCAUAUGCUCGAAGCCUUUCGCUAGAAUUUGGAGUUUCGCAUGA